GAUUCCGCAACCUUGUAUCUCAAGCCUACAACAGUAUACGAACUCUCUUCUUAC
rnacentral:precursor_RNA from 1 species